CCUACGGGAGGCAGCAGUGAGGAAUAUUGGUCAAUGGGCGUAAGCCUGAACCAGCCAAGCCGCGUGAGGGAUGAAGGUUCUAUGGAUCGUAAACCUCUUUUAUCAGGGAAUAAAGUGUGGGACGUGUCCUGUUUUGAAUGUACCUUAUGAAUAAGGAUCGGCUAACUCCGUGCCAGCAGCCGCGGUAAUACGGAGGAUCCGAGCGUUAUCCGGAUUUAUUGGGGUUAAAGAGUGCGUAGGCGGGCUUUUAAGUCAGCGGUGAAAGUCUGGGGCUCAACCCUAGAAGGGCGGUUGAAACGGGCAGUCUUGAGUAUGUUUGAGGCAGGCGGAAUGCGUGGUGUAGCGGUGAAAUGCUUAGAUAUCACGCAGAACACCGAUUGCGAAGGCAGCCUGCCAGGGCAUGACUGACGCUGAUGCACGAAAGCGUGGGGAUCAAACAGGAUUAGAUACCCGUGUAGUC
rnacentral:rRNA from 1 species